CGCUCACAAUUCCCUCCCUUUUCCCCUCACAUUUCUCUCUCUUCUUCCUCUCACGUUUUCCCGCUCUUUUCUCCCCCUCACGUUUUCCCGCCCUUUUCUCCCCUCAUGAUUCCCUCUCUUUUCCUACGGGGCAGUCCAUACUGGGUGAACCAGUGUUAACUGGUCUGUACUGGGUGAACUGGUCCGUACUGGGUGAACUGGUGUUAACUGGCCCAUAUUGGGUUAACUGCCCAUGUUGGGCCAUCCCGGGCCUGGGGACAUCCCGGGCGGGCGCGAGGCUCCAGCGUGCCCCCGUUACCAUGACAACCCCAACGUGGCGUGGCCGCCAUCUUAACUCCGGGCACGCGCUCCCUGCCAACCACUUCCGGCCCCUCAGCCAAUCACAGCCUCCCGCCUUCCUCACGUGAUUCCCGGUGCCGAACGGGGAAGUGCAGCCGUUAUGGACUCUACCGGAGCCCGGGACGCUUCUGCGGCCCCAGCAGCAUUACCGACACCCCUGGGGACAUUUUGGGGACACUCCGAGAGGUCACGAGCCCGCCGGAGUCCCGUUGCCAUGGAAACAACCAGAACGCCGCGGCCGCCAUCUUUUAACUCUUGGCACCGCCGCCAUCUUAACUGCGGGCAUAACUUCCGCCCUCUCCGCCAAUCACAACCUCCCGUCUCACCCACGUGACCCCCGGUGCAGCCGAACCCGGAAGCGCCGCCGCCGCCAUGGACCCCGCCGCUCCCCCCCCAAAACGCCGCGGGCCCGCCCGCUUGGCCGAUCCGCGGCCUCUGUUCGAGGAUACGAGCGCUACCGGGGCCUCACCGGGCCGCGGGUUCGGGGCUCCGCCGCCGCCUUCGGCCUCGUCGGCCUCGUCAUCUUCAUCAUCCUCGGCCCCGUUCGGGCCGCCCGGGGCGUUCCUGGCCGAGCCCGUGAGCUCGCUGGCCGCGGCCUACGGGAGCAGCCUGGCCUCGCACGUGGAGGGGAACGUGAGUGACGGGAGAUAACGGGAAAUAACGGGGAGAAUAAAUUGGAAUUAACGGGGGAAAAAUGGGAAAUA
rnacentral:lncRNA from 1 species